AGCAUGGGAGAUGUUACAUCACCGUGCCUUUUUAUAGAAUGCAGGUAUAGAACAGUUGUUGUUUGUGAUGUUGGUGAGGGUGAUAUCACUUGUUAGGUUUCACACUAGAUGUAGAUAGAGGACAGUGACCAAACACACAAUGGUGCUUUUUGUACAGUGAUAACCACACAUGCACAGCAGACAAUGCAUUUACUGUUAACAACCAAGGUAGAAAUAGUCUGUGAUAGAUCCUGUCUUCCAGGAGUUUUAACACAUAGUCAGCUUACCCAAUAUUUAUCAUCUGAAAUGUGUGAUCAUUACAUUCUACCUGGUAUAAUGUUGGUUGGUCAGGUCAUAUUUAAAGUUGAUAUAAAUGUUUUGCCCUUGUUAUAGCUACAAUUCCAAUAGAAGUUCUGUUAGAAUUUAAGUUAUUCGUAUGAAAUAUUGUGAAAAUAUGAAGGAGUAAGAUUGUCAUUGAACUACACAAAUAUCAUUUAAUAUUUCUUGUGUUUUAAUGAAAGAUGUAUUAAUAUAUACUAGCUAGGACUUGAUUUCCAAAUGUAUAGGUAAAGUUGUAAGUAUACCCUUUUCAUACAUACUAUGGCUUUAAUAUAAAGUAAUUAAAUAAUCAUCUCACCAGGUAGCAGGGGAAAAUCCCUGUAGAAGAUCUACAUCUGAUCUAUACUGAAAAAUGAAUAAGGGUUCUCCUAGUCCGUUAGUACAGAACAUGUAAGGGUUCUCCUAGUCCGUUAGUACAGAACAAGUAAGGGUUCUCCUCACCCAUAUGUACUGAACAAGUACGGGUUAUCCUAGUCCGUUAGUACAGAACAAGUAAGGGUUCUCCUAGUCCGUUAGUACAGAACAAGUAAGGGUUAUCCUCACCCAUAUGUACUGAACAAGUAAGGAUUAUCCUCAUCCAUAUAUAUGGAACAAAUAAGGGUUCCCCUCAUCCAUAUGUACUGAACAAGUAAGGGUUAUCCUCACCCAUAUGUAUGGAACAAGUAAGGGUUCCCCUCAUCCAUAUGUACUGAACAAGUAAGGAUUAUCCUCAUCCAUAUGUACUGAACAAGUAAGGGUUAUCCUCGUCCAUAUGUACUGAACAAGUAAAGGUUCUCCUUGUCCAUACAUACUGAACAAGUAAGGGUUCUCCUUGUAUGUAUGUACUGAACAAGUAAGGGUUCUCCUUGUAUGUAUGUACUGAACAAGUAAGGGUUAUCCUCAUCCAUAUGUACUGAACAAGUAAGGGUUCUCCUUGUCCAUAUAUGUACUGAACAAGUAAGGGUUCUCCUUGUCCAUACAUACUGAACAAGUAAGGGUUCUCCUUGUAUGUAUGUACUGAACAAGUAAGGGUUCACCUCAUCCCUACGUACUGAACAAGUAAGGGUUCUCCUCGUCCAUAUGUACUGAACAAGUAAGGGUUAUCCUUGUCCAUACGUACUGAACAAGUAAGGGUUAUCCUUGUCCAUAUGGACUGAACAAGUAAGGGUUCUCCUUGUAUGUAUGUACUGAACAAGUAAGGGUUCACCUCAUCCCUACGUACUGAACAAGUAAGGGUUCUCCUCGUCCAUAUGUACUGAACAUGUAAGGGUUCUCCUUGUAUGUAUGUACUGAACAAGUAAGGGUUCUACUCAUCCCUACGUACUGAACAAGUAAGGGUUCUCCUCGUCCAUAUGUACUGAACAAAUAAGGGUUCCCCUAGUUUAGAUGUACAGACAAAGUAAGGAUUCUCCUUGCUCAUAUGUUCUGAACAAGUACAGGUUUUUUGCCCAUAUGUACUGAACAAGUAAGGGUUCUCCUGGUCCAUAUGUACUGAGCAAGGAUUGGUUCUCCUUAUCCAUUUGUUCUGAACAAGUAUGGAUUCUCCUCUUCCCUAUGUUAAGGGUUCAUCUUGUCUAGAUGUAUAUCUAUUGACCAGUUAAGAGCUUCGAUCCUUGUUUAGAAGUACUGAUAAAGUGGCACUAGAUUCCCCUUGAGGUACCAAAAUGUUGAUGAUUCUCCUUAAAUGUACUAAACUGUUGAAUAUUCCCCUAACUGAUCAACAGGUAGUGCUCAAGAGCUUCACCACAUCAGAUGUUGUUUCUGCCUGUAAGUUCAGAAUGUUUGUUUAACGUUAAACAUAUUGGUGCAUUUGUUCAGCAUUAAAAAUAAAUAGAAUUAAAUCAUAUUUGUUUUUUAAUAUGACCAGUAUAUGUAAAUGUAUUUGUAAAUUAAUUUUCUUUUGUAAUUUCCUCCUCAUAAUCAAAUUUAAAUACUGUAAUACAGUCAGUUCUCCACAUAGUCAAAUUUAGAUACAUUGAAAUGUACGUAGUACAGCUUAUGUUUGUAAGGUUUUACACAUGGAUAUGAAGAGAGUUCGUCUUGUAGAAUGUGCCAUGUUUGUAUGGUGGUGAUAUUUAAGAGUUGCUGUUAAUUGAAAACACCUGCCAAAUCAUUAUAAUUUUAUUUAUAUAUUAUACCAAUAUAUAUGAGAAUGUUAUUUUCUGUAGCUUCAUCAUUGUAAAAUCCUUUGUUUUAACAAAUGUUUUGUGCAGAUUUCAUUUUUGUUUUGUUGAAUUUAUAGUUAUAUUAAUAUAUCAGUGAUAUUUGUGAUUUGUGUAGAUUGUAAAUAUCCAGUUUGAUUAAGACUGAAUGACUUUGAAUGUUCAGAAGUAAUUAUAUAUAUAUUCAUGUUUAAAAAUAAUGUACAAAUUUGUCAGGUUUGGCUUUGGUUUGUUUUCUUAAUUAAAAAAAGAAAGAAUUGUUAAUUUUCUUACUAUUUUGUCUUUAAUGGAAUGGUUAUUGUUUGUUUUACAUACUGUAGACCUUUUAGCGAAUCAAUUUUAACAGCAAUAAGAUCUCAUGUCUAUGCUUUAUGCCAGCUAUAAGGGGAUGCUGAUCGAGAUACAUACAGUUGUUGAUCACCAGAGUUGUGGGUCUAACAUUGGUGUAGUGGGACCAGAAAGGCCAGAACUUUGGGCCAGGUAAAUGGAGGUCAGAAAAUGUGUUGUCUCGCCCUCUCCCUCAUAUUGAUUUCUAACUAUUAUCAAUUGUGCCAUUUUCAUUUAACAAAAUUUUGGUUUUAAUAAUAUACAAAUAACCAAUUUUAUUUGUCGAUCUGUUUGCAACAUAAAGAGUAUCCAUUUUUACAGGAAAGGUUAUGAUCUACCAAUUUGUUCAGACCCCCAACUAUCAAUUGAAAACAGUAGUGACCUAUAUUUUAUAUGAAGUGAUGUUUGCACGAAAACUAUUCUUUCCUCCUGUAAGGUGGCUGUUUUUGAUGCCGUCUAUAAUGUUCACAGUUUUUAGAUAACAAAAGUUAAGAUUUUAAAUUAGAUAUUAGAAUUUUUUCUAAUAUGUUCACUUUUGGCUCAGGCAAUCCAUGAACUACAUUUUUCUAUAAUAUUUAAGAUGUUAACAAAACAUGAAGGUUUAUAUAAUGUUUUUAAGUAUACUGCAGUAUAUAUCUAACCCAUGUAUUUUUUCUCAGAAUUUUAGAAGUGCUUAUAUUUAUUCAAGAUGUUUUUUCCAUUAUUACAUUUUGUAUUAAAAAGAAAUGAACUAUUGAAAUAUUUCAGGCAUCUGUAAAUGAAUCUAGUUACAGAUAUAACAGUGACAAUAAUGUUGUGUCCACAAAUUUCACACUUCAACUUUUCAUUAAGAUUCUUUAUUUCACAAACAUUGAAAAAUACAUUUCAAGAAAUUUCAUGACAAUUGUUCCCAAUAUUUAUGCUAGCAUUAUAAUCUCAAAGUAUUUUCAAAUGUUAAAAUAGCUUCUUUAUUGUCUUCAUCAGUUACAAUUUGUACUUUUCUGAGAAUAUGUAUCGUAUUGCAAUAGGCUAAUUGUCUAUCAGGUAUUAAAUGUGUACAUGUAUGUAGCCAAUUUAAAAUUAGUACACCAAUGUUUACCUCCCUAUUGAAUUCAGCAAGUUUUUAGAGAGAAGCUGUUUUUCAAGAUAUGUGGAUAUUGCUAAAAAAAUGUAGAUGAUAUGUUCAGUUUGGCUUUUCCAGUCUUGGAUUUCAUGUGUGACUCAAGCUAAUUACAGAGUCCUUCAUCUAAACUUUAACAGGGCUCGGUGAGUAUGAUAGAAUUUCAGGAAACUCACUCAGAACCAGCAAUGUUUUCCUUAUUUUACGCUUCCCCAUCAGUCUUUGGAUAGACUGCAUGUACACUGUACUACAGGCUUGAGAUUUUGACAAAUUGUCCUGACAAGUAUGUACAUGAUGACAGAUGUGCCGAUAUGUUAAUUAAACUUAUUUCAAUUCUUUAUUUCUUUUAAGACUGGUUUACGCUUUUCACUUUAAUAAGAAUAUUUCAUGCAUGAUUUACUCAUGAGAAAGACCCUACCUCCAUACAAUGUAUAUACGAAUGGACGUGUUGUGUAAGAGUUAUGUCCCUUCGUUCAUUGAAUCGUUGGCUGGUCCUGUGUGGCAGACUGGUUUAUGAGGGAGUGGUAAAUUACAAACUUUGAUGUAAGAAACUUUAAAUCACAUUUCUGUCAAUGACGUGAUAUCAGCAUCAUAUAAAAUCGUAGUAAUUUAUUAUAGACCCAUGAUCAUAAGUGCACAUUUUUUUUCAAUAAAAAUUCUGGUAUUUUUAUUGAAUCCCAAAGAGAAAUGUUUCAUGAUUUUACGUGUUAACUGUUUGUUUAAGGAAUAAGAAAAACAUAUCCCUUUAAUUGUUUAUUCCAAUGUAUUGUUUUAUACAUUUUUAUUUAUACCUAAUAUUUGCCAAAAAAUAACUAACCAUUAGGGGUGUGACAAGAAGCCUGUGUGUUAUAGUUGCUCCCUCUCAGGAGAAAGAUUCAUCAGUAACCAGUGGUUAUGUUGGAUUGUAUAUAAAUUAUCAUGCAAAUCUGUUCACAGCACAUGUACACUGAACUGUUACACCACGUUACACGUGUUAUAAUGCAACAAAAUUCAACGAGUUUCCAACUAUUUAAUUCAGGAUCGAACGAGAACAAAUUUUAUGUUUAUUUUAUUAUAUGCUCAACCAAAGAAUGUACAUUUCAAUGUUUAGUAUGUUCAGAUUGCACCAAGUUAAGAACCACGACCAGUUUUGCAUUUGCUGUAAAUUGAUGAAGUCAUUGCACUGUUCUUUGAAAAGUCACAACGAUGUUUAAAUUUUAUAUGGACUGUAUUAUAUCAGUUCAAUUUUCAUUGGUAUUCUGUCCCCUGAAGUAAUGUACACAGUGUUGUAUUACUCCUCAAGAGUCUGAACAUGUUAAUCAUGAUGUGAUAUUAAAAUCCUCAGCGCCAAAUCACUGUACAGAUACCUUAUCUCAGCAUUAGUCAAUAUAGCAUGUCUUCCUGGCAGUACUGCACGUGUUACUUUUCCGAAUUCCCACAUUUUUACAGCAAAUAAUGACAUCAGAUUUCUGCAAGUAUGCAUGUUCAUUAUGCAUCUGCAUAAAAGGAUACCUAUUUAACGUUUAAUUUGAAGUUGUCAUUAGUUAACUGUUAGCCAGUCAAGCUAUCUACAUAUGUAUCCAUGUAUAAUUACUACUGUAUACCUGUGGAGCAUUCCAUAUUUUUUGUUGUAUAAUCUCUAUAUUUAUAUCUGUAUUAAACAACACAACCCCUCCCCCAGAUCAUAGAUAUUCUGUAAUCCAUACACAGUUGGUAUGAUUGUCAAUCAGUUCGCUAUGUUAAUUUAGUUCUCUAUCAGUCUGGGGUAGACUCUAAUGUACUGUGUAAGAGUGCCUUCCGUUCAUAAACGUUUAUUUGUUUGUGUUAAUGCGUUAAUAUUAUGUGAGAAUGUUGUGUAUCCUUAUAACAGUAUCAUAAAUACAUUUACACUUGUUACAAUUAAAAGGAAAUAACAGCAAAUAUAUGUAAAUGUCAAUAUAUAUGUAUACUGUACGUAGAAAGUUGCCAAAUAAACUUCUGUGAUUACUCUUAA